GUUGACCUCGGAUCAGGUAGGAAUACCCGCUGAACUUAAGCAUAUCAAUAAGACGGAGGAA
rnacentral:rRNA from 1 species